CGGGGUGUAGUUCAGAUGGCUAGAACGCUACGUUCGGGACGUAGAGGUCGUCCGUUCAAGUCGGAUCACCCCGA
rnacentral:tRNA from 2 species